UAGCACCAAAGGGGGUGCCCCGCCGGGCUGAGAUCAUACCCCGAGGAACCUGAUCCGGGUAAUGCCGGCGAAGGGAUGAUCCGGGCAUAGCGCUUU
rnacentral:ncRNA from 1 species